CAUUUGGUUUAUGUGCUUGGUCGAAAGACCAAUGGGUGCGAAGCUACCAUCUGAGGGAUUUAAGACUGAAAGCCUCCUUAAGUUCUGAAUCCCGCCCAGAAUGCAACGAUACUAUCGGGUGCCCCUACGCCGGGAGGCAAACGAUAUACUCGGCCCGAAAUCCGAUUUCGGCGGCCGAGACUGGCUAAAGCCACUGCGAUACUGGCCACACCCGCUGUCUUGAAAUUUGGCAGUGGAGGCACAGACACGAUACCACUUGAUUGAGACGUAGGGGUUCUAUAUCGUUUGUAGACGACUUAGAUCUCGGUCGGGGUGCCGUACUUAGUUGAGCAGUUCUUCACUGCGAUCUAUUGAGGCUAAGCCUUUUGACGGGGAGAUAUGU
rnacentral:ncRNA from 1 species